CUGUGCAAAGGUAGCAUAAUCAUUAGUUUUUUAAUUGAAGGCUUGUAUGAAGGGUCUGACAAAGAAAAAGCUGUCUUUAGUUUUAUUUUUGAAUUUAACUUUUAAGUGAAAAGGCUUAAAUAAAUUUAAGGGACGAUAAGACCCUAUAAAUCUUUAUAUUAAAUUAUUAUCUUGAAUUUUAAUGUUUGUCUAGAUAUUGACAAGUAAAAUAAUAAAUAUUUUGUUGGGGUGACAAGAAUAUAAAAAUAACUGUUCUUAAGAAAAACAAAGUUGUUUGUAUAAAAUUUUAUAGAUCCUUUUUAAAGAUUAAGAGUUUAAGUUACUUUAGGGAUAACAGCGUUAUUUUUUUUGAGAGUUCUUAUCGAAAAAAAAGUUUGCGACCUCGAUGUUGAAUUAAAAUUUCUUUACGGUGUAGAAGUUGUAAGAGAAAGUCUGUUCGACUUUUGAA
rnacentral:rRNA from 1 species